rnacentral:rRNA from 1 species
CCUACGGGCGGCAGCAGUGGGGAAUAUUGGGCAAUGGAGGAAACUCUGACCCAGCAACGCCGCGUGAAUGAUGAAGGUCUUUGGAUUGUAAAGUUCUUUUCUAAGGGAAGAAGAAAGUGACGGUACCUUAGGAAUAAGCUACGGCUAACUACGUACCAGCAGCCGCGGUAAAACGCAGGAGGCGAGCGUUAUCCGGAAUGACUGGGCGCAAAGGGUGCGUAGGUGGUUUGGAAAGUUAGUAGCGUAACUCCAAGGCUCAACCUUGGAACUACUACUAAAACUGUUGGACUUGAGUGCAGGUGCGGCAGGCGGAAUGCCUGGUGUAGCGGUGGAAUGCAUAGAUAUUAGGAGGAACACCAGUGGCGAAGGCGGGUUGCUAGACUGUAACUGACGCUGAGGCACGAAAGCGUGGGGAGCAAACAGGAUUAGAUACCCGAGUAGUC